AUUAGUCAGCCGUAAUUAACAUCUCG
rnacentral:piRNA from 1 species